UAGGAAUGGAGCAGAGCCACACAUCCUGAUUCACUGCUCAGUACUUCCUGUUUACCAGUGGCACCAAAGAGUUCUGGUGAUGUUGUCCCCUACAGUACAUCCCUGCUGGGGGUUUGACCAUCGCUGCUGACAGGAAACCCACCAGGGCCAAGGUGUGCGCUGCGUUGGGGAUGAAUGUGCUGGUGGCUCUCUCGACCGUCGCUGGAAGUGUUCUUCAUUUCUUUGCUAGUGUACUAUUUGCGUACCCUCCCUGCCACCUUGGUUGUAAACAUUUGAGAAAUACUGAAUUGUUCAUGCUGGCAGCGUCCAUCUUGCUGUUCAUCGUCUCCAUACUGGUUGUUUCCUCUGCAGUGGCUGCUCUGUGUUCCUCUAGAAAG